rnacentral:rRNA from 1 species
GACGAACGCUGGCGGCGUGCUUAACACAUGCAAGUCGAACGGAAAGGCCCUGCUUGCAGGGUACUCGAGUGGCGAACGGGUGAGUAACACGUGGGUGAUCUGCCCUGCACUUCGGGAUAAGCCUGGGAAACUGGGUCUAAUACCGGAGAGGAGCCAGUUUUAGUGUGAUGGUUGGAAAGUUUUUUCGGUGUAGGAUGAGCUCGCGGCCUAUCAGCUUGUUGGUGGGGUAAUGGCCUACCAAGGCGGCGACGGGUAGCCGGCCUGAGAGGGUGGACGGCCACAUUGGGACUGAGAUACGGCCCAGACUCCUACGGGAGGCAGCAGUGGGGAAUAUUGCACAAUGGGCGCAAGCCUGAUGCAGCGACGCCGCGUGGGGGAUGACGGCCUUCGGGUUGUAAACUCCUUUCGCUAGGGACGAAGCUUUUUGUGACGGUACCUAGAUAAGAAGCACCGGCUAACUACGUG